rnacentral:rRNA from 1 species
AUUGAACGCUGGCGGCAGGCCUAACACAUGCAAGUCGAACGAGUGGCGGACGGGUGAGUAAUGUCUGGGAAACUGCCCGAUGGAGGGGGAUAACUACUGGAAACGGUAGCUAAUACCGCAUACCAUCGGAUGUGCCCAGAUGGGAUUAGCUUGUAGGUGAGGUAACGGCCUACCUAGGCGACGAUCCCUAGCUGGUCUGAGAGGAUGACCAGCCACCUUGUACCGGAGACACGUUCCAGACUCCUCCUGUAGCUCGCAGUUGGGAAUAUUGCAUAAUGGGCGCAAUCCUGAUGCAGCCAUGCCGGUUGUAUGAAGAAGGCCUUCGGGUUGUAAAGUACUUUCAGCUGGGAGGCGUUACCCGCAGAAGAAGCACCGGCUAACUCCGUGCCAGCAGCCGCGGUAAUAC